AUCCAGAUGACGAGUCCUAAAUAGGACGAAAUGCUCAUCGUGGAU
rnacentral:hammerhead_ribozyme from 1 species